UACAGAGGUCCCAAGCGUUGUUCGGAUUCAUUGGGCGUAAAGGGUGCGUAGGCGGCGCGGUAAGUCGGGUGUGAAAUCUCGGAGCUUAACUCCGAAGCUGCAUUCGAUACUGCCGUGCUUGAGGACUGGAGAGGAGACUGGAAUUUACGGUGUAGCGGUGAAAUGCGCAGAUAUCAGGAGGAACACCGAUGGCGAAGGCAGCACUCUGGGACGUGACUGACGCUGAGACGCGAAAGCGUGGGGAGCAAACAGG
rnacentral:rRNA from 1 species